AAGACCUUGCGCUUUUGGAGCGGCCGAUGUCUGAUUAGCUAGUUGGUGGGGUAAAGGCUUACCAAGGCUUCGAUCAGUAGCUGGUCUGAGAGGACGACCAGCCACACUGGGACUGAGACACGGCCCAGACUCCUACGGGAGGCAGCAGUGGGGAAUUUUGGACAAUGGGGGAAACCCUGAUCCAGCCAUGCCGCGUGAGUGAAGAAGGCCUUCGGGUUGUAAAGCUCUUUCAGCCGGAACGAAACGGUUACGGUUAAUACCCGUGACUACUGACGGUACCGGAAGAAGAAGCACCGGCUAACUACGUGCCAGCAGCCGCGGUAAUACGUAGGGUGCGAGCGUUAAUCGGAAUUACUGGGCGUAAAGCGUGCGCAGGCGGUUUUGUAAGUCAGAUGUGAAAUCCCCGGGCUUAACCUGGGAACU
rnacentral:rRNA from 1 species